UAGAAUACAUAUAUAUUUCAUCUUUACUGGUACUAGUGAGAUUGCAAGAUCAAAGAUUCACUUUAGGGUUUAUAUUUUAACAACAGCACACUGAAAGGCGAGGAUAACGAACAGUGAUCAAUCUCAUGACUCCUUUAAGCAAUACAAAAUAGAGAGUUGGGCAAACACGGACCCCUGGAUAGAGGUGGGAUCAGGUGCCUAGGAGGAGUAAGCAUUCCCUGUCGACUGGUCACACCCACCGUGAGCCCUAUAUCUUGAUCAGGUUUUCUGAGGACAGAGCACACACUGGGAGGGACUCCACCUCACCAAUCACCGAUAUCGUGUUUCCCUUCACCACCAGACUAUUGUCAGAUGAUUAACCAAGUUAUCACUUCAAGACAAGGGAAAGUCCGUGAUUAUUAUUUUACAAACCCAGAACAUACCAUCAAACAUGUUUUUCUUCAUGCAGCCAUCCUGCCCAUGGUAACCAAAGGUGGGUUUCCCAUCCU